rnacentral:rRNA from 1 species
AUUGAACGCUGGCGGCAGGCCUAACACAUGCAAGUCGAGCGGUAGCACAGAGAGCUUGCUCUCGGGUGACGAGCGGCGGACGGGUGAGUAAUGUCUGGGAAACUGCCUGAUGGAGGGGGAUAACUACUGGAAACGGUAGCUAAUACCGCAUAACGUCGCAAGACCAAAGUGGGGGACCUUCGGGCCUCAUGCCAUCAGAUGUGCCCAGAUGGGAUUAGCUAGUAGGUGGGGUAACGGCUCACCUAGGCGACGAUCCCUAGCUGGUCUGAGAGGAUGACCAGCCACACUGGAACUGAGACACGGUCCAGACUCCUACGGGAGGCAGCAGUGGGGAAUAUUGCACAAUGGGCGCAAGCCUGAUGCAGCCAUGCCGCGUGUGUGAAGAAGGCCUCCGGGUUGUAAAGCACUUUCAGCGGGGAGGAAGGCGAUAAGGUUAAUAACCUCAUCGAUUGACGUUACCCGCAGAAGAAGCACCGGCUAACUCCGUGCCAGCAGCCGCGGUAAUACGGAGGGUGCAAGCGUUAAUCGGAAUUACUGGGCGUAAAGCGCACGCAGGCGGUCUGUCAAGUCGGAUGUGAAAUCCCCGGGCUCAACCUGGGAACUGCAUUCGAAACUGGCAGGCUAGAGUCUUGUAGAGGGGGGUAGAAUUCCAGGUGUAGCGGUGAAAUGCGUAGAGAUCUGGAGGAAUACCGGUGGCGAAGGCGGCCCCCUGGACAAAGACUGACGCUCAGGUGCGAAAGCGUGGGGAGCAAACAGGAUUAGAUACCCUGGUAGUCCACGCCGUAAACGAUGUCGAUUUGGAGGUUGUGCCCUUGAGGCGUGGCUUCCGGAGCUAACGCGUUAAAUCGACCGCCUGGGGAGUACGGCCGCAAGGUUAAAACUCAAAUGAAUUGACGGGGGCCCGCACAAGCGGUGGAGCAUGUGGUUUAAUUCGAUGCAACGCGAAGAACCUUACCUGGUCUUGACAUCCACAGAACUUAGCAGAGAUGCUUUGGUGCCUUCGGGAACUGUGAGACAGGUGCUGCAUGGCUGUCGUCAGCUCGUGUUGUGAAAUGUUGGGUUAAGUCCCGCAACGAGCGCAACCCUUAUCCUUUGUUGCCAGCGGUUAGGCCGGGAACUCAAAGGAGACUGCCAGUGAUAAACUGGAGGAAGGUGGGGAUGACGUCAAGUCAUCAUGGCCCUUACGACCAGGGCUACACACGUGCUACAAUGGCAUAUACAAAGAGAAGCGACCUCGCGAGAGCAAGCGGACCUCAUAAAGUAUGUCGUAGUCCGGAUUGGAGUCUGCAACUCGACUCCAUGAAGUCGGAAUCGCUAGUAAUCGUAGAUCAGAAUGCUACGGUGAAUACGUUCCCGGGCCUUGUACACACCGCCCGUCACACCAUGGGAGUGGGUUGCAAAAGAAGUAGGUAGCUUAACCUUCGGGAGGGCGCUUACCACUUUGUGAUUCAUGACUGGGGUGA